rnacentral:siRNA from 1 species
GGCACGUCUGCCUGGGUGUCAC